GUGCUCACUUCAACAGCACAUACACUAAAAUUGUAAUGUAACAGAGAAGAUUAGUAUGGCCCCUGCACAAGGAUGACACGCAAAUUCAUGAAGUGUUCCAUAUUUUU
ensembl:snRNA U6 U6 spliceosomal RNA